UUGCUUUGGAAGUAAAGGUACCAAAAUGGGAAUGAUGCAGGGAAGACUAGCAUGCCCUCUGCACACAAGGAUGACAUACAAAUUUGUGAAGCAUUCCAUAUUGUU
ensembl:snRNA U6 U6 spliceosomal RNA